rnacentral:tRNA from 1 species
UACACUUUAGUAUAUGAUGUAUGGGGGUUUUUGAAAUUCAGGGAGACGGUUAAAUUCUGUUAAGUGUAU